UUAUUUUUGAUUUAAUUAUAUAUAUAUUUGAUAUGUGUAAAUUUAGUUUUAGAUCUGAAAUUUGAUGUAUAUGUGAUGCAUUUUUAUUUAGAUCUAAAACUACAUAUAUUUGAUAUAUGAAAUCAAUUUGCAUUGUAACUAGUCCUAUUAAUGAAGGCAUUAAAUUUGUUGGGCAUAAACAUGGUAAUGUUUAUAUGAUAGAUUUGAAUGAUCUUUCCAAAAUAAACAUGCAAUGCCUAGUAGCCUUGAAUGCCAAGAUUAAUGAGACUAGUUGGCUUUGGCAUC
rnacentral:lncRNA from 1 species